ensembl:lncRNA
GGUCAAAUUGGAAAUUCUGUCUAAAGAAGUGAAAUUCAGAAUUGAUACAGGCGCAAAGUGUAACAUAUUGACUCUAAAUAGCUACCAGUUGCUUGCCCACACAGGUGAGCUGCAGCGCUCUGAGACAGUCCUCCGCUCAUACUCCAAUCACCGGCUAAGGCCUGUAGCUGCUGUUAAUCUACAAGUCAAGUCAAAAAAGUGUAAAGAGACCACAGUGUUUGAAAUUUGGACAUCGCUCAAGAGAAUGUGCUCAGUGGUGCUUCAGCUGAAGCGUUGGGGCUGAUUGUGCGCCUUGACUUACUGGAGAGUGAUGCAGAUAGACGCUACACACGAAACCCUGACAAUACUGAAACACAGCGUAUUCCUGCUGGACUUCUUAAGUUCCCAGAGCUGACGCGCACCACUGGAACCAUGCCAGACGCGCAUGUCUAUGGCACUAGGUCCGCCUGCACUGCCUGCACUGUCUUGGGGACUUGUGAAACAACAGCGUCAGACCUGAGAAGCUCGGCUGGUUUUCAUCUGAUUGGCCUACCGCUUCUUCCCUGCAGGAUCACACUCAGGAGGCCACCCCCCACAGCAGACAUCUUUUCCCUGACAUUUCCCAGAUCUGAGGAGGCUUACACCACCUGCUCUCUUCCUUCUUCUCUAGUCCACUGCAGCGCCACUUCAAGACA